rnacentral:rRNA from 1 species
CUCCUACGGGAGGCAGCAGUGGGGAAUAUUGGACAAUGGGCGCAAGCCUGAUCCAGCCAUGCCGCGUGGGUGAAGAAGGCCUUCGGGUUGUAAAGCCCUUUUGUCCGGAAAGAAAAGCUCGAGGUUAAUACCUUCGGGUUCUGACGGUACCGGAAGAAUAAGCACCGGCUAACUUCGUGCCAGCAGCCGCGGUAAUACGAAGGGUGCAAGCGUUACUCGGAAUUACUGGGCGUAAAGCGUGCGUAGGUGGUUCGUUAAGUCUGAUGUGAAAGCCCUGGGCUCAACCUGGGAAUUGCAUUGGAUACUGGCGGGCUAGAGUGCGGUAGAGGAUGGCGGAAUUCCCGGUGUAGCAGUGAAAUGCGUAGAGAUCGGGAGGAACAUCUGUGGCGAAGGCGGCCAUCUGGACCAGCACUGACACUGAGGCACGAAAGCGUGGGGAGCAAACAGGAUUAGAUACCCUGGUAGUCCACGCCCUAAACGAUGCGAACUGGAUGUUGGGUGCAACUAGGCACUCAGUAUCGAAGCUAACGCGUUAA